CAAACGAAUUGUAAUGGAAUUACGCCGGAGUUGUUUUUCAUCAUGUUUAUUUGCAAUUCAACGGAUUGUAAAAUGUACCUUGGUGUGAUGAUUGUGGAUUGACUUCAACGAUGUACGUGUCAUAUGUCAAAAUGUGCAAUUAUGCUCAACGAACAAUAACUGCAUCAUAAUUACAUUAUGCUACAUGUAACAUGUUCCGGAAAUGUUAGAU